GACGAACGCUGGCGGCGUGCCUAAUACAUGCAAGUUGAGCGAUGAAGAUUGGUGCUUGCACCAAUUUGAAGAGCAGCGAACGGGUGAGUAGCGCGUGGGGAAUCUGCCUUUGAGCGGGGGACAACAUUUGGAAACGAAUGCUAAUACCGCAUAACAACUUUAAACAUAAGUUUUAAGUUUGAAAGAUGCAAUUGCAUCACUCAAAGAUGAUCCCGCGUUGUAUUAGCUAGUUGGUGAGGUAAAGGCUCACCAAGGCGAUGAUACAUAGCCGACCUGAGAGGGUGAUCGGCCACAUUGGGACUGAGACACGGCCCAAACUCCUACGGGAGGCAGCAGUAGGGAAUCUUCGGCAAUGGACGAAAGUCUGACCGAGCAACGCCGCGUGAGUGAAGAAGGGUUUCGGAUCGUAAAACUCUGUUGGUAGAGAAGAACGUUGGUGAGAGUGGAAAGCUCAUCAAGUGACGGUAACUACCCAGAAAGGGACGGCUAACUACGUG
rnacentral:rRNA from 1 species